rnacentral:lncRNA from 1 species
UAACUAAUAACACAAAAUAUUAAGGUUUACAAUAUUUAAAUUCUACAUAAGAAUAGCCAUCAUCCAUCACUAAUAACACAAAAUAUUAAUUGUGUAUGAUGACCAAGCCACUGGACCGAGUUCGGGUGACCCGAACUAUAGCUCCGACCCAACCCGAAAUAAUGACUGAGUCUAUUUUUGAGACCUUUACUCGGUUUUAGACCCGAUAAAAUCAUACUAAAUUAGUUUCUAAAGUGUUUGGGGCCUGAGUCUUCGAACAGGGCCGGACCAUGUACACCCUAUAAAUAAUUAAUAGGACAAACAUUUAUGGGAGCAUGUACAAGAGGAAUCUCUGCAAUCUGCACCAGCUGUGAAACCAUAUUUGUUGAUGCAUUCUAGGAUACAAUAAUAGGAGUUUCCAUCUUUGCAACUUUCGUCAUACCAAACAUCUUCACACCUCUUAUCUCCAAUCACUUGAAUUGUCAUCAACACCCCUACAUAAUAUCAACAUAUUUUAUAUUUCAAUAGAACAUGGAAAUGAUUAUAUAUUCCAAUAAGGGAAAAAAGUUAAAGAUACUAAUAAAGUAAUGAUGAACCUGAAACCAAAAGAAGAAGAAACAAUUUUUUUGCUAUAGUUAAUUUAGCCAUCUUUCUAUUAUAAGUGCAGUCUGUGAGCAACUCCAAGGAAAUGAAGGGGC